rnacentral:lncRNA from 1 species
GUUUUCGUCCACGAUAGUCUCGUCGAAGUCGAAGGAGGAACGUGUCAGCAGGUGGGGUUUCUGCCAGAGUCCGAAGCAAGCGGGCAGCAGGAGAAGCAGUGGGGCUUGGGGAGGUAAGAGCCUCCCGCACCAGGCCAUGACACACCUGGGAGACAGAGUCACCCUCUGGUCUCAUCAACAUCCAGUGGGCAUUUCAGUGGCCCAGGAUCCUUCAAAUUGCAGAUAUAAAGCAUCAGGACCCCACACCUGGGAUGGAAGCUUCUAGGAAUUAAUGAAGCCCCAGUAGAGGUGAGGGUAAACCUAAAACGGGCUGGAUAGGGCCUCUCCCAAGGCCCUAUGGAAAGGUGAUGGGAAACUGGGGGCUGAGGCCUCAUCCUAGGAGACCCCUGGAGGGACCCACUUACCCUAGAUAGGCAGCGGAGGCCAGAAACUGGAAAACAGCCACUCAUUGUCGGUGCAUUACCGUGAGCACCACCUGUAGGGACUCUGUUGGCCUCCAGCCGUCGUCACACGUUCCUGACAACCACAAAAGUUCAUUUGAGGGUGCCCAGUCAGCUGACUUUGCUUCCACCAGGAAUACCCACCUGGCCCUGGUCCUUCUGCUGAGCUACAGGAGGCAUUCCCAGGGUCUUAGCAAAAACAACCCCUCAAAUAGGCCCAGUGCCUACAACUCUAGAGAGGUUUCAGAUGGUAUUGGAGACCCAGAGAAGUUAACUGACUUUCCCAAAAGUCACCCACUGUAAAUGGCAGACAGAUCUCAAACCCACAUCUGAGCCUGAGUCCAGUGUUUUUUCUCUAGUAUCAUCAUUGUCCCUUAAAUGUGUUUGACACAUCAUAGUUUACAAAUCACCUUCACUCAUAUUCUCUCACUACUCAUCAGUCAUGAAUUCAGCCAAUGAGAAGGGCUCAGAGAGGUUAACUAACCAGCCACGCUGUUUACAUGGGGCAUAGACUGCUUCAUGAACGCUUGACUGCAGCUUUGCCUUCCUCAUGCCCUCAAAAAGGAAGGAGCUGACCAAAGCUUACUAUACCAUAGCUGGGGUCUGGGACCCCCAGCCAGGUCUCACAGAUGAUCUGGGAAUGGCCUCCCUGUUGCUCUCAGGGGUCCGGCAGUCACACAGAAGAGUCAGGUUGAAAUCUUGGCAAGACUUUGGUGUGGCUUUGGGAACUGGGUUUAACCUCUUGGGGACUUCACCAAGACAGUGGCAAAGGACACCACCUACAGCUUCCAGUGCCUCUCUACUCUCCCACCUGUGCUCCUGGGGUUGAAUGAGACCAGAAGCAGCUGGGACAAGAUUUGGAAAGAUAAAGAGAGCCAGGAGACAAGACCUUGAGAGAAGCAGAGGUCUGGCUGGCUGCUGCCCUCUGGUGGUGACAAUGGUGACACUGUAAACCCCUCUGUCAAGGUGACACUCUCCCCUGACUAUUCAGGAGGGAGAAGCAAUCGCCCCAGGACAGAGACGGGGACAUCCCAGGAGCAGGGUACAGGCUCUAGCAAUAUCCAUCUUGCGGUACUCCCUCCCUCACAACAACCAGACCACACAUGUGUUAAAUCCUUCUGCAGGGAUGGAAUGCGGCUCUCAGUUUUUUCCAAGAACUUCUAAUCUAGGAAUUAGGAGAGGUGGUCAAAGCUGAAUGAAGCAGUGGGCAAAGAGAGGGUGAGGGAUGGGAGAGAAGACAGGUCAAGGAGGAGGUGGGAGAGAAGGGGAGGGUUGCAUGAGGGACAAGGAAAUGGCAUGGGUUGGAGCUGUCCCCAGUCCCUAUCUGGAGGGACUUCCAACCUUCCAGAUUCCCAGCUGAUAUCACAUGUCCAACCUCAGCCAGGCGAUUUAUAAGAGAAAGGUCAGGGAUGCCACUCCCCUUGUAAAAGCAAACAUGCAGCAUCUGGAGAAGCAAGGGGUAGAUACAAAGAUUCCAAGGGGUCACCAACAGCUACCCAGAGACCAGCUUUCAUCCUAUAGAGAAGGGUCUCAUUACUUUGCCCUUCCUUCCUUCCUGUCUCUCUCCUUCCUUCCUUCCUUCCUUCCUUCCUUCCUUCCUUCCUUCCUUCCUUCCUCCUUCCUUCCUUCCUUCCUUCCUUCCUUUUUUCUAUUCUAUUGAUCAUUAAUUAUGGUCAAAACUUCUCAUUUUUUCAGCCAGGCAGGGUGGCUUAAGCCUGUAAUCCCAACACUUUGGGAGGCGAGGCAGGCAGAUCACUUAAGUCUAGGAGUUUGAGACCAGACUGGGUGACAUGGCAAAACCCUGUCUCUUUAAAAACAAAAAUUAAGGCCGGGCGUGGUGGCUCAUGCCUGUAAUCCCAGCACUUUGGGAGGCCGAGGCAGGCGAAUCACGAGGUCAGAAGAUCGAGACCAUCCUGGCUAACAUGGUGAAACCCUGUCUCUACUAAAAAUACAAAAAAUUAGCUGGGUGUGGUGGCGGGCGCCUGUAGUCCCAGCUACUCGGGAGGCUGAGGCAGGAGAAUGGCGUGAACCCGGGAGGCGGAACUUGCAGUGAGCCGAGAUUGCGCCAUUGCAUUCCAGCCUGGGCGACAGCGAGACUCCGUCUCAAAAAAAAAAAAAAAAAAAAAAAUUAGCUGGGUAUGGUAGCUUGUGCCCAUAGUCCCAGCUACUUGGGAGGCUGAGGCACGAGGAUCACUUAAACCCAGGAGACAGAGGUUGCAGUGAGCUGUAAUGGUACCACUGCACUCCAGCCUGGGUGACAGAGGGAGUAACCCCAUCCCCAACACACACACACACACACACACACACACAAAACUCCUCAUUUCUCAUCAUAAAAUACAGUUACAUUUUUCUGCUAAUAAUAGUAUCUAGGGGAUUCAGUUAAACACUUAUUGUUUGGUGAGUUGCCCUUGUUUCUUUCAGUCUCCAAGGCAGAAAGUCAGGCAUCUUGGGUUUCUUCCCCAGAAAACUGAGAAGGCCAUGCUGUGACACCUCGUCCCCACCCCACAGGAGUCAGAGGAACCCCUUCCCCAGUUGGAAUUUGGCUCCUGUGAUGCUCCAAAAGGAGAGAGAAGGGGACUCACUCCUGAGCUCCAGAACUCCCCCAGUGCCACGCGCGUGAAGGAGCGCCUUCAAACUCCACAGCCCCCACCCCGCGCCGGGACCCCAGCCCUCCCCUAUCUCCCGGAGCCCAGGACUCACGUGGGGGCGGCGGCAGCAGAGGUCUGUCCCGGCUGAGUUUGGAGUGUAAGAAGUGGGGAAG